UACGGAGGAUGCAAGCGUUAUCCGGAAUGAUUGAGCGUAAAGGGUCCGCAGGUGGCAAUGUAAGUCUGCUGUCAAAGAAUGAGGCUUAACCUCAUCAAGGCAGUGGAAACUACAUAGCUAGAGUACGGUCGGGGUAGAAGGAAUUCCUGGUGUAGCGGUGAAAUGCGUAGAGAUCAGGAAGAACACCGGUGGCGAAAGCGUUCUGCUAGACCUGUACUGACACUGAGGGACGAAAGCUAGGGGAGCGAAUGGG
rnacentral:rRNA from 1 species